rnacentral:lncRNA from 1 species
UGAAAUUUGGGGCAAAAUGGAAAUCAACAUUUUGCACUAAAGCAGUUUUGGACAGCAGCAGUAGUGUAACUUUGAAAAAUCACCAAAAAUCGUAGAGAUUGAAUUAGAGGAUGAAUAAAAUAUGAAAUUAAAGCUUAUUGAGUCUAGUUUCUUAUAAAAGAAAUGAUGUGAGCAAUGGAAUUGUAAAUCACGAGAUAUAAUAGAUUUUGUGAGACAAGGUCAGAAUGAAUUCGGGUUCCCCUGUUCUGACUUUGGAAAAUCAUUAAAAAUUGUACAGAAAUUAUUAUGAGUUAUAGUUUAUAUGGUUAGAAUCCUUAAUGAGUCUAUUUUUAUAAGAAACAAGCUAAAACAUCAUCCGAAUUCUGUACAAUGAGAUAAUUAAUUUUUAGUGAAGAGUAGUCGGAACUAUCAGACAGC